rnacentral:rRNA from 1 species
UAAGGAAUAUUGGUCAAUGGACGCAAGUCUGAACCAGCCAUGCCGCGUGAAGGAUGAAGGUCCUCUGGAUUGUAAACUUCUUUUAUCUGGGACGAAAACGGGAUUUUUAUCUCAAUUGACGGUACCAGAGGAAUAAGCACCGGCUAACUCCGUGCCAGCAGCCGCGGUAAUACGGAGGGUGCGAGCGUUAUCCGGAUUUACUGGGUUUAAAGGGUGCGUAGGUGGGCUUAUAAGUCAGUGGUGAAAUCUCCGAGCUUAACUUGGAAACUGCCGUUGAUACUAUAGGUCUUGAAUUAUCUGGAGGUAAGGGGAAUAUGUCAUGUAGCGGUGAAAUGCUUAGAUAUGACAUAGAACAACAAUUGCGAAGGCAGCUUACUACAUAUAAAUUGACGCUGAGGCACGAAAGCGUGGGGAUCAAACA